rnacentral:rRNA from 1 species
UGGUGAAAGCCCGGGGGGAACUGCCUUUGAGACUGGAUUGCUUGAAUCCUGGAGAGGUUCCGAGUGUAGAGGUGAAAUUCGUAGAUAUUCGGAAGAACGAAGGCGGCUCACUGGACAGGUAUUGACGCUGAGGUGCGAAAGCAAACAGGAUUAGAUACCCUGGUAGUCCACGCCGUAAACUAGCUGCCGGGGCACAUGGUGUUUCGGUGGCGCAGCUAACGAUCCGCCUGGGGAGUACGGUCGCAAGAUUAAAACUCAAAGGGGGCCUGCACAAGCGGUGGAGCAUGUGGUUUAAUUCGAAGCAACCUUACCAACGUUUGACAUCCCUAUCGCGGAUCGUGGAGUUCAGUUCGGCUGGAUAGGUGACAGGUGCUGCAUGGCUGUCUGUCGUGAGAUGUUGGGUUAAGUCCCGCAACGAGCGCAACCAGUUGCCAUCAUUUAGUUGGGUACUCUAAAGGAACCGCCGGGGAGGAAGGUGGGGAUGACGUCAAGUCCUCAUGGCCCUUACUACACACGUGCUACAAUGGCAACUACAGUGGGCAGCGACCUAAGCUAAUCUCCAAAAGUCGUCUCAGUUCGGAUCGUUCUCUGAGCGUGAAGGCGGAAUCGCUAGUAAUCGCGGAUCAGCAUGAUACGUUCCCAGGCCUUGCACACACCGCCCGUCAAAUCGUC